rnacentral:rRNA from 1 species
CCUACGGGAGGCAGCAGUGGGGAAUAUUGGACAAUGGGGGAAACCCUGAUCCAGCGACGCCGCGUGAGUGAAGAAGUAUUUCGGUAUGUAAAGCUCUAUCGGCAGGGAAGAAAAUGACGGUACCUGACUAAGAAGCCCCGGCUAACUACGUGCCAGCAGCCGCGGUAAUACGUAGGGGGCAAGCGUUAUCCGGAUUUACUGGGUGUAAAGGGAGCGCAGACGGCCAAGCAAGUCUGAAGUGAAAUGCAUGGGCUCAACCCAUGAAUUGCUUUGGAAACUGUUCGGCUUGAGUGUCGGAGGGGUAAGCGGAAUUCCUAGUGUAGCGGUGAAAUGCGUAGAUAUUAGGAGGAACACCGGAGGCGAAGGCGGCUUACUGGACGACAACUGACGUUGAGGCUCGAAGGCGUGGGGAGCAAACAGGAUUAGAUACCCUGGUAGUCCACGCGGUAAACGAUGAAUACUAGGUGUCGGUGCCCGAAGGGCAUCGGUGCCGUCGCAAACGCAAUAAGUAUUCCACCUGGGGAGUACGUUCGCAAGAAUGAAACUCAAAGGAAUUGACGG